CCUACGGGAGUCAGCAGUGGGGAAUAUUGGACAAUGGGGGGAACCCUGAUCCAGCCAUGCCGCGUGUGUGAAGAAGGCCCUCGGGUUGUAAAGCACUUUCAGUGAGGAAGAACGCCUGGUGGUUAAUACCCAUCAGGAAAGACAUCACUCACAGAAGAAGCACCGGCUAACUCCGUGCCAGCAGCCGCGGUAAUACGGAGGGUGCGAGCGUUAAUCGGAAUUACUGGGCGUAAAGCGCGCGUAGGUGGCUUGAUAAGCCGGUUGUGAAAGCCCCGGGCUCAACCUGGGAACGGCAUCCGGAACUGUCAAGCUAGAGUGCAGGAGAGGAAGGUAGAAUUCCCGGUGUAGCGGUGAAAUGCGUAGAGAUCGGGAGGAAUACCAGUGGCGAAGGCGGCCUUCUGGACUGACACUGACACUGAGGUGCGAAAGCGUGGGUAGCAAACAGGAUUAGAUACCCUAGUAGUC
rnacentral:rRNA from 1 species